rnacentral:rRNA from 1 species
CCUACGGGAGGCAGCAGUGGGGGAUAUUGCACAAUGGGGGGAACCCUGAUGCAGCGACGCCGCGUGGGUGAAGGAGUGCUUCGGCAUGUAAAGCCCUAUCGGCAGGGAAGAAGCAAGACGGUACCUGACCAAGAAGCCCCGGCUAACUACGUGCCAGCAGCCGCGGUAAUACGUAGGGGGCAAGCGUUAUCCGGAAUUACUGGGUGUAAAGGGAGCGUAGACGGUUAAGUAAGUCUGGAGUGAAAGGCCGGGGCCCAACCCCGGGACUGCUCUGGAAACUAUUGAACUUGAGUGCAGGAGAGGUAAGCGGAAUUCCUAGUGUAGCGGUGAAAUGCGUAGAUAUUAGGAGGAACACCAGUGGCGAAGGCGGCUUACUGGACUGUAACUGACGUUGAGGCUCGAAAGCGUGGGGAGCAAACAGGAUUAGAUACCCGGGUAGUC